rnacentral:rRNA from 1 species
GGGAGCAAUCCCCGGUACAGUGGCGCACGGGUGAGUAACACGUGGAUAAUCUUCCCUCGGGCGGGGGAUAACCUUCCGAAAGGAGGGCUAAUACCGCAUAAGACCACGACCAGUACGCUGGUUGCGGUCAAAGCAGGCCUCUUCAUGAAAGCUUGCACCUGGGGAUGAGUCCGCGGCCCAUCAGCUAGUUGGUAGUGUAAAAGACUACCAAGGCUAAGACGGGUAGCUGGUCUGAGAGGAUGAUCAGCCACACUGGAACUGAGACACGGUCCAGACUCCUACGGGAGGCAGCAGUGGGGAAUCUUGCGCAAUGGACGAAAGUCUGACGCAGCGACGCCGCGUGGGUGAUGAAGGCCUUCGGGUUGUAAAGCCCUGUGGGGAGGGACGAAUAAGUCGUGGCUAAUAUCCACGAUGAUGACGGUACCUCCUUAGCAAGCACCGGCUAACUCUGUGCCAGCAGCCGCGGUAAGACAGAGGGUGCAAACGUUGUUCGGAAUUACUGGGCGUAAAGCGCGUGUAGGCGGCAAGGCAAGUCGGGUGUGAAAGCCCUGGGCUCAACCCAGGAAGUGCAUUCGAUACUGCCAAGCUAGAGUCCCGGAGAGGGUGGUGGAACUCUCGGUGUAGAGGUGAAAUUCGUAGAUAUCGAGAAGAACACCGGUGGCGAA